rnacentral:lncRNA from 1 species
GUGUAUCCCAGAGCUGACCCUGCGGCGCCUUUCCCAGGCUCGCGUCCGGAAGAACAUUCCAACACAGACCACAACACCUAUGGACCUGGAAAACAUUGUGCUCAGUGAAAGAAGCCAGACACAGAAGGACAAUGUUGUAUGAGGUCUUAUUCUGUUGCCCAGGCUGGACUGCAGUGGUGCAAUCCUAGCUCACUGCAGCUUCGACCUCCCGUGCUCAAGUGAUUUUCCCACCUCAGCCUCCCGAGUAGCUGGGACUACAGGUGCGUGCCACCACGCCUGGCUGAUUUUUCUUGUAUUUUUUUGUAGAGAUGGGGGUAUCGCUAUGUUGCCCAGGCUGGUCUUGAACACUUGGGCUCAAGUAAUUCUCCCGCCUUGGCCUCCCAAAGUGCUGGGAUUACAGGUGUGAGCCACUGUGCCUAGUGUGAAUGCAUUUAAUGCCACUGAAUUGUACACUUAAUAAUGGUGAAAAAUAUAAAUAUUCUGUUAAAUAUUUUACCACAAUAAAAAAAUGUGUGACAGUUGUCAGAAUCAAAAUGGUGUCACUAAUGUUUUUUUUUUUUUUUUUUUUUUUUUUUUUGAGAUGGAGUCUCGCUCUGUUGCCCAGGAGGGAGUGCAGUGGUGCGAUCUCGGCUCACUGCAAGCUCCGCCUCCCAGCUUCACACCAUUCUCCUGCCUCAGCCUCUUGGAGUAGCUGGGACUGCAGGCACCCGCCACCACGCCCAGCUAAUUUUUUGCAUUUUUAGUAGAGACGGGGUUUCAUCGUGGUCUCGAUCUCCUGACCUCGUAAUCCGCCCUCCUCAGCCUCCCAAAGUGCUGGGAUUACAAACGUGAGCCACCGCGCCUGGCCUGGUGUCACUAAUGUUAAGAAAACCUUCACAAAUAGAGGCAGACCAUGAAGAGAGGGGUCUCAUUCUUAUAUGCCUGAUAAAGAAAGACUUUAAGAACUACAACCCUUGGCGGGGUGCAGUGGCUCAUGUUUGUAAUCCCAGCACUUUGGGAAGCUGAGGCAGGUGGAAUACCUGGGGUCAUGAGUUCGAGACCAGCCUGGCCAAAAUGGUGUAACACUGUCUCUAUUAAAAAUACAAAAAAAAUUAGCCAGGCGUGGUGGCAGGCGCCUGUAAUCCCAGCUACUCAGGAGACUGAGUCA